UUGGAGGGCAGUCUGGUGCAGCAGCCGCGGUAAUUCCAGCUCCAUAGCGUAUAUUAAGUUGUUGCAGUUAAAAAGCUCGUAGUUGACUUCGGGGUCUACCCAUUGGUCAGGCUUAAUUGUCUGUACUGGUGAGAUGGAUCUCUACCUUCUGAGGAACUUUCAUGCCAUUUAUUUGGUGUGAUGGGAAAUCAGGACUGUUACUUUGAAAAAAUUAGAGUGUUUAAAGCAGACUAUCGUCUGAAUACAUUAGCAUGGAAUAAUGAAAUAGGACGGACUGAUUCUAUUUCGUUGGUUUCUAGGAUCACCGUAAUGAUUAAUAGGGAUAGUUGGGGGCAUUAAUAUUCAAUUGUCAGAGGUGAAAUUCUUGGAUUUAUUGAAGACUAACUACUGCGAAAGCAUUUGCCAAGGAUGUUUUCAUUAAUCAAGAACGAAAGUUAGGGGAUCGAAGACGAUCAGAUACCGUCGUAGUCUUAACCAUAAACUAUGCCGACUAGGGAUCGGACGAAGUUAAUUUUAUAAUGACGCGUUCGGCGCCUUACGGGAAAC
rnacentral:rRNA from 1 species